GUCGAGGGGUAGAGUUCUUCGGAAUUUGAGACCGGCGCACGGGUGCGUAACGCGUAUGCAAUCUACCUUUUACAGAGGGAUAGCCCAGAGAAAUUUGGAUUAAUACCUCAUAGUAUAGCAGUUUCGCAUGAAACCACUAUUAAAGUCACAACGGUAAAAGAUGAGCAUGCGUCCCAUUAGCUAGUUGGUAAGGUAACGGCUUACCAAGGCUACGAUGGGUAGGGGUCCUGAGAGGGAGAUCCCCCACACUGGUACUGAGACACGGACCAGACUCCUACGGGAGGCAGCAGUGAGGAAUAUUGGACAAUGGGCGCAAGCCUGAUCCAGCCAUGCCGCGUGCAGGAUGACGGUCCUAUGGAUUGUAAACUGCUUUUGUACGAGAAGAAACACUCCUAUGUAUAGGAGCUUGACGGUAUCGUAAGAAUAAGGAUCGGCUAACUCCGUGCCAGCAGCCGCGGUAAUACGGAGGAUCCAAGCGUUAUCCGGAAUCAUUGGGUUUAAAGGGUCCGUAGGCGGUUUAGUAAGUCAGUGGUGAAAGCCCAUCGCUCAACGGUGGAACGGCCAUUGAUACUGCUGAACUUGAAUUAUUAGGAAGUAACUAGAAUAUGUAGUGUAGCGGUGAAAUGCUUAGAGAUUACAUGGAAUACCAAUUGCGAAGGCAGGUUACUACUAAUGGAUUGACGCUGAUGGACGAAAGCGUGGGUAGCGAACAGGAUUAGAUACCCUGGUAGUCCACGCCGUAAACGAUGGGUACUAGCUGUUGGGAGCAAUUUCAGUGGCUAAGCGAAAGUGAUAAGUAUCCCACCUGGGGAGUACGUUCGCAAGAAUGA
rnacentral:rRNA from 1 species